AUGAGCUGCGGGCCGACGGACGGCCGAAUCCAUUUUGGUUUUGAUGUCAUUUCUUCGGUUGUUUUUUUCUUUUUUUUUUUUUUUGUUGUUGUUCCGAUUUGAAAGUUGAGCGCGUCGCGUUUGCGCUGCGGGGACAAAAGCGCGCGUGGACGGGCGGCGGCGGCGGCGGCGGCGGUCCGCUUUAGGACUCCAGCGAACCACAGCGAGAGCCGUCAUCCUCAAAUGGAGAAAACACGGAACAGCGGUGAGCCUUCCCAGGCGUGGCCACCCUACAAAGAUUGCCUCAAGAGAACAGUCACGCCUCAUCCAGGAGUCCACAAAGGAACUCAGGACAACUUCGAGAGAACUGCAGGCCUCCCCUGCCUCGGUUAAGAACAUCCCGCAACCUCCGGCUGAGGAAUACGGGCCCGCCAAAAGCGAAGGCGAAGGCGUCGGUCCGAGGCGAUGACCCAGAAAGCGUCCGGUUCCCGGCGGAAGACGGCGUGGGCCGCGGCUCGGCUGCGGCCGGGCGCAUCUGUGUUUGUGUCUUUGUGUCGGGGGGGUAAACCGCUGCCGCUGCCGCUGCCGCUGCCGCUGCCGGGCUUUUGUCUCCCGCCUGAUCGCCUCUAAUGCUGCAGCACUAAUUGUUUAACACAGAAACACAUCUUUUCUCCCUUUAAUGUUUUUGUUGCUAUUGUCUGCCACGCAUUGAUGACAAAACCUUUGUGGAUA